AGUCGACGAGAAAGGGAUUGCUUGCAAUCCUGAGUAGAGUGGCGCACGGGUGAGUAACACGUAGAUAAUCUGCCUUCAAGCCUGGGAUAACUAUUCGAAAGGGUAGCUAAUACCGGAUAAAGUCGAUUCACAUAAGUAGAUUGAUGAAAGAUUGCCUCUUCUUGAAAGCAAUUGUUUGGGGAUGAGUUUGCGUACCAUUAGCUAGUUGGUGGGGUAAAGGCCUACCAAGGCUACGAUGGUUAGCUGGUCUGAGAGGAUGAUCAGUCACACUGGAACUGGAACACGGUCCAGACUCCUACGGGAGGCAGCAGUGAGGAAUUUUGCGCAAUGGGGGCAACCCUGACGCAGCAACGCCGCGUGAGUGAAGAAGGCCUUUGGGCCGUAAAGCUCUGUCAACAGGGAAGAAAUUAUAAUUGUUUAAUAGAUGAUUGUAUUGACGGUACCUGUGGAGGAAGCGCCGGCUAACUCCGUGCCAGCAGCCGCGGUAACACGGGGGCCGCAAGCGUUAUUCGGAAUUAUUGGGCGUAAAGGGCGCGCAGGCGGUCUUGUCCGUCAGGUGUGAAAGCUCGGGGCUCAACCCCGGAAGUGCACUUGAAACAGCAAGACUUGAAUACGGGAGAGGAGAGAGGAAUUCCUGGUGUAGAGGUGAAAUUCGUAGAUAUCAGGAGGAACACCGAUGGCGAAGGCAUCUCUCUGGACCGAUAUUGACGCUGAGGCGCGAAGGCGUGGGUAGCGAACGGGAUUAGAUACCCCGGUAGUCCACGCAGUAAACGUUGUACACUCGGUGUGGCGGAUAUUAAAAUCUGCUGUGCCUAAGCUAACGCAUUAAGUGUACCGCCUGGGAAGUACGGUCGCAAGACUAAAACUCAAAGGAAUUGACGGGGGCCCGCACAAGCGGUGGAGCAUGUGGUUUAAUUCGACGCAACGCGAAGAACCUUACCUGGGGUUUGACAUCCUGUGAAUAUCCCGUAAUUGGGGUAGUGCCUUCGGAGCACAGAGACAGGUGCUGCAU
rnacentral:rRNA from 1 species